UUGUGUUAAUUUAUUCAAUGUUGGAGUAAACUAUCAGUAUGUUUGAAUAGAAAUAAUUGUGUGUUAAACAUGUUAACUUACUUUGGAUAAUUGACAAACUGUUUAGGCGGAUAAUAAUAAAGUUAUACAAAAGCGUGGCGUAUAGUCAUCUGGCGAAUAGAUUUUGGGCGGGAAUUUUCUAGUAGAUCACCUUAGCAUGUUUUGUUUUUUUUUUAAUCGUACAACAUUUUAACGACUUUAAAAAUAGAUUUCUUUGAUGGUUUUGUUUUGUGAAUGUCUCUAUUCUACUGUAGCAUCUCGUAAUUUAGGCCCGAUGACCAAGCCAGACGAAUGGUGUUACACUUCUCUUUUUACAAUAAGGCGAACCUGUCAUCCACUAGAAUUAUGCCAUGGUUAGUCAUGGACCUUCGACUCCAAUGAGUCAUUAAACAUUCUCAUUGUAUCGCUCCAUAAAGCUAGUGUACAGCCCAAAUUUUCCCGGGCCUCCAAACCAAAUGGUCCAAAUCCAUUUACAAAAUUUUAACCCAAUCCUGAAGCCUAAUUACAAUACCCGGCCCAAAGCCCAACAGCCCCAAAAAAACCUAAUGGUCAAACUAGGGUUUUAGUUUUCUGAAACCCUAAUCUCUACUGUAGGUGGCCGCUAGUCCCAUCAUCACCCUACCUCCGCGCCAUCGACCCUGGUCACCUCAGCCACCUGCUUUCUGCCCACCUGCAAAACGAAAAAGAACACGCAAUGGCAGCCCAAAUAGCAGAGAAGCAAUAACAAACAGAGAAAAAGCAAAUAGGCAUUUUGGCUAUAAAAUCAAGAAAUUCAAUGUAAUCAGGGGGCAAAAUCACUGUAAUCGGGGGUAUUUUUCUUUUAUUUUGUUCUUCUUUUCUUUCGGUUAAAACCGAAUCUGCUGUAAGGAAGAAGAAGUUAUUCCUUUGCUUCUACGAUUAUUGAGAAAUAAAAACAAAAACAAAACAAACUUUUGAAGUUUUUUUUUUUUAGAUUUGCGUUUAUGUUUAUUUCAUUUUAUUUUAUUUUUAUUUUAUUUUCUACAUAAGAAAUAAAUAAUAAAAAGGGAAGGACGAGGACUUACCUGCGCCGUCGCCGGACCUAAAUCGGAAAGAGGGUGGGUUGAGUCUCUCAUCUUCGCUUUUAGGGAUCGAAAAACCCAUAUAUUUAGGUUCAUAUUAGAGCUCGGAAAUAGGGGACCUCCUCUCGCCGUGUCGGCCUUUGGCAGGGGUGACUGCACGGCGAAUCGCCGUCAAGGUUGGCGCCGGAUCUCAGAGGGCCAAAAGGGAUGGAGGCUCUGCUUUUUUUUUUAUUUUUUUGAGGCUGCUGAAAUAAACUAGGGUUUUUUUAAGGGAUUUUAAAAGCUUCAUUAAACGGCGCCGUUUUGGUGUUUGGCCCGUGACCCGACCCAAUGGCCCCUAGGAUCCGCGUGUUUCUGCGGUGAGGGGAUAUUUUGCGCGCAAGGCCCUUCCUCUUUGAGCUGUAGUGCAAUCGGGUCUUUCUGGUUUUUAUAUUUUGGCCGCAUAAUUUUUUGAUAGUUCCAUUUUUGUCCGAAAUGGAACACUGAGCUUGAGGGAGGGGAAUAUUUCCUAAUCGAUCCCUCAUCCCUUAAGCGUGUUUCAUUUUAGCCUCAAAUUACCCUUUUUACUUAUUUAUGUUUCAACCCCCAAAGUUCACCUUAAGUUUUAAUUUAAUCCUUUUGUAUUUUGUUUAUUUUCCUAUUAAAUAAUAAAUUUGAUGUUAUACUAUUGUUAAUUAUUAUUGCUGUUACUUGCUCAUUUAUACCUUUAAAAUUUUAAAUUUUAUCAUAUAUAUAUAUGUAUAUCUUUAUCUUUAUUUUUUAUAUUUUCAUAUUUUAUAAUUUGUAUCUAUGUAUCUAUAUACAUACUUUUAUUCCUAUAAAAAUAUACGCAUACCUAUAUGUUCUACAUUUUCAUAUAUUUUUACACACAUAUAUUUUUAUGCUUUAUAUUUCUAACAUACGUACAUAUAUAUAUAUAUAUAUUUUUAUAUAAUUUUAUUCAUUAUUAUUGUUUCACUUGGUGUUCAUUUAUUUAUUUAUUUACAUGCUCAUUAUUAUUAUUAUUUACUUAAGUGUUUUAGUUUGUAUUCGCAAAUCUACUUUUAUUUGUGUAUACAUUGUUGAUUUCUUUUUAUUAUACAUUUACCAUCUUAUUUAUCCUUUUUAUUUGCAUGUAUUAUUUUAUUUACAUUAUCAUCAUCAUUCCAUUACCCCCAUUUUUUUUAUUUAGAUUUAAAAAAAAUUUAAAAAUAUAAGUAAUAUUCGGUAUUUAGGAUCUUCGAGAGAAUCGAGCCCUAACGUAUUGAGUUUCGACUUUCUGCGUUGAAUUUAAAUAAUCGAGAUUACUCUUUUAAAAAUGAUAAAAAGCUCGUUAUCGAGAAUUCAAUACAUUGUGUCCUAACGCAUUGGACGUGACACGUUGUUUUCUCGAGACGAAGAUUUUUCGAAAUAAAUGCAAUAUUCAAUGUUUAAUAUUUUGAGAAAUUGUGCCCUAACGUAUUAGGUUGUGAUUUCUUCAUUUGAUUUAAGCAAUUAAAUAUUAUUUUAAACUUUAUUACACGAAUAUUUUCAAACUCAAGUAUUAAACGAUAUUGGGAUUUAAAAAAGGAUCAUGUCCUAACUUACUGGUCGUGAUCCUUUUUUUUAAUCCAAAAUAGUUAAAUAUCUUUUAAAUAAGUAAAUUUUUGACAUUUAUUCGUGUAUUAGGAAUUCGAGACAUUGUGUCCUAACUUACUGGAUAUGAUGCUUGUUUUUUCGAUUAACGUGAAAUAUGCCCCAUUUUCUCAAAAUUUUCAACAUUUUAAUUCAAGGAUCGUAUUUUUAAAAUUCUUCAAAGUUUUCAAUUUUCGACAUUAAGACGUCAGCUAAUCAACUAGGUACCAAUUUUGGGCGUUACGAGGGUGCUAAUCCUUCCUCGUACAUAACCGACUCCCGAACCCGUUUUUCUGAAUUUUGUGGACCAAACUUGUUGUUUUAAUAAAAUCAAAUCAUUAUUAAAACAACCACUUUUCGAGGUGAUCCGCUCACACCUCAUAAAAAAGGAUCGGUGGCGACUCCCAUUUUCGUUUUCAUUUUUCAAAACCCAAGUCGACCCCAUUUUUGUCAAAAAAUAGUGUCAACAGCUUGGCGACUUCGCUGGGGACCAAAAUAAGUGAGUCAAGCCACGAGUUGAUUAAUCUUUAUCUUUUUGUCGAAAAUCGAAAACUUGGUUUAAAUAUACGAUCCUUUCGUUGCAUUUCACUCAUCUUUAUUACGAUAUUCAUCAUGGUGGUUUAUAAUUGCCCUGUUUGUUUAAAUUUGUGUAUCUUUCUGCACAUUGCAUUGCAUGACCGUUGGUCACACCCUUUUAAGUGGGAGUGAGAAGCUACGCCUUCGUGAGGUUUUCACCUCCGCAUGGGAUAGUGAAUCACUUUCGGGAUAUAUCCGUACCUAUGUCUUAGUGAGAUUUUCAUCUCCGCAUGGCCAUAGGGAAAUGUAUCCCCCUGAACUGAACCCAAUCUAUAUGACCCUAAUCGGUGAGGAUCGAGGAAUAUGCUGGUUCGGGUACCCUUACUUUAGAACCAAACCUCAUGUAGUGAACCUUAGGAGCCCACCCUAGGUAAAACCACUUCGAACCCUUAGUGGUCACCCGAAUAGGUGUUCUAUUUAUUCUUGCUUGAUUUUGCUUUGGACUAACUUGUUUUCUUUUUUUUUAUGACUGCAUUGCAUUUUCAUCAUAGAAAAGAGGUGUUGAUUCAAAUUUGAUUGCUAAAUAGAAAAGCUUGUCAUGGAAAACGAAUUUCUUGAUAAAGUAGGAUAUGAUGCGACUGCCUGACUAUGGACUGAUUAAACACAACGAGAGAAGGCUAGAAGUCCUUGGAGGAAUAUACGACUAUGCUUUGCCACUUGAGGAUUCAAACCGACAAAGAUAAUUUGAAACCAGUCACGAAACUAAAGAGCAUCGUGGGGGAGCAUUGGGUUGUAGCUCGGAUCAAACAAGAAGGAGAUAGUAGAGACAGAUUUUGGAAAUUCGUAAGAUUUGAUCUUAGCAUUCAUAUAAAGAAGGAGAUCAAUGUAUUCGCCUGGAAUAUGAGGGUAAAGCCACAUAUGUAAUCUAUUUUAUGUAAAGAAAUUUGUCUUCUAGAAAAGUUGCUCUAAUAGAAUUGAAUUCAGAAUCAAUGCCUCUCUUUCUUUUUGUAUUCAUUUCAUGCAUUUGUAUUACAGUGCAUCAUUUGCAUUAGAUUUUCACAAAAUGACCUAAUUAGGUAAAAUUAUUUCAGCUAACCUGGAAACUAAUAAGAGUCAACCAAUCGAACAUCACUACGGUACCCGUCUCAAGAGAAAAGUAAUGGAUUAGAGGUUAGAAAGAUUGGAACAAUUGCAAAAAGAAAUGCAAGAUAAGAUGCAAGAACAAUUGGAUAAAAUCCAACAAGACGCGCUGGAAUCCCAAAGAAUUAUGAGCCAACUGACACAAUUAUUGGCUGAUAAAGGAAAGAGCCCUGUAAUCAAUUCGGGAUUUGAUCAGGAGGGCCCUGUUUAUCCUCCAAGUUUUGCCCCAACGGACACUCAAGCACAACCGGAUAUGUAUCCACAUAGAGCGCGUGAUCGCAUUAGACCUCAAUGCCAAGUCGGUGCCUCGGCACCAAUGAACUACCUGACAGGCUCAGGUUCCAAUCAAAGGAACGAUCCAACCAAUCUUGUAGUUCCUGAUUUAGACAAAAUGGUAGAAGCAAGGGUAGAACUACCAAAGCAAUUCAAAGAUCAGUUUAGGUGGUUGGAAGAAAAACUCAAAGCAAUGGAGAAUGCUGAUUACCCUUGCAGGGUUGACGCCAAGGAUCUAAGUUUGGUCCCAAAUCUAGUACUCCCGCUGAAAUUCAAGGCUCCAGAAUUCAAAAAAUACAAUGGGACUAGUUGUCCUGAAGCUCACAUCACGAUGUUCUGCCGAAGAAUGACAAGAUAUAUUGAUAACGAUCAACUGUUAACUCAUUGCUUCCAAGAUAGUCUGAUCGGGUGGGCUGCCAAAUGGUACAACCAGUUGAGCCAUGCCAAUAUCCACUCAUGGAAAGACUUGGUACAGGCUUUCAUGAAGCAAUAUGGCCACGUGACAAACAUGGCACCUGACAUAGUUACACUACAGAACAUGGAAAAGAAGCAAAGUGAGAGCUUCAGAUAAUAUGCCCAAAGAUGGAGAGAGGUAGCAACGCAAGUCCAACCACCUCUUCUGGAAAAAGAAACCACGGUGCUUUUCGUCAACACUCUGAAAACCCCAUUCAUUAACCACAUGUUGGGAAGUGCUACCAUGAGCUUCUCAGAUAUGGUAAUGUCUGGCGAGAUGAUUGAGAAUGCCAUAAGAAGUGGAAAGAUAGAUACGAAAGAAAGCUUCAAAAGAUCAACCCCAAAGAACAAAGAAAAUAAAGUAAGCAACCUGAGCAUGUAUAAUGAAGGGUAUCCCAAAUCGAUCAUUAUGCCCCAACCAAGGGUCAUAACUAUCGGCUAUCACAGUAUUAAAAUCGUAUCCAAAAAGGGGGUUGGUUAGGAGAACACUUGGAAGCGUAUUUAAUAGUAAGACUAUGGAAGAGAUCCUUGUAUUUUUUGAGCUAAUUCGGAGUAAUGUCCAAAACACGCUUAUUGCUCUAAGCCUAGGGGCAAUAAGAAUCCUUUUGUGAGAUAGGCUUAUGUCGAACAUCUUUAUUUCAAUAAAAUGCAUCUUUGUUUCUCACUUCGAGUAAAUAUUCUUUUAUUGUUUCCAUUUCAUUCAUAAUCAUACUAUACAGAUAAAUAUUCGUAGAUUCUUUUAUUCUUUGGAUCUACUUUUAUCCUAUAACAGGUCUCCAGGUAUCAAUGAUAUGAGCAACACUGAUAUUGACUCAGAACCUCCUUUUGAGCAGGAUAUGUGUCUAGAGGAACCUCGGGACUUUGGAGAUAACUGAGACUAUAGCUUAUCUCCUGAUUUGUUCCGGAUGGUAGAACAAGAUCCUACCUUACAAGGAAUCUAUGGAAGUCAUGGCAUUCCUCUAUGUGGGGCAUGGAUGUCAUUGAGCCAAUCUCGCCUAAGGUUUUUGGCGAUCAUCAAUUCAUCUUUAUGAUCGUCGAUUAUCUCAAUAAGUGGGCAAAAGCUACUUCAUAUGCCGAUGUCACAAAGUCAACGGUCAGCAAAUUCCUGAAAAAGAAAUCAUAUGUCAGUAUGAAAUACCGAAAAGGAGCAUACCUGACAAUGCACUAAAAUUGAACAACGGCACGAUAUCAGAAGUUUGCAAUCUGUUCAAGGUUAACACAUUUCGCCCCAAAAUGUACGGCGCAGUGGGAGCAAAGAUAAAACAAAAAAGGAAGAGAAAAAACUGUUACCAAGGCAACACCUUGCCUUAUCGUAGUUUUUCUCAUUGAGGUCAAGAUUUUUUCUCUCCGAGUGUCGAAUCAGAUCUUGAUUGAAAAGAAAUGUUCAAAGUUAUCCGUCUUGGUCAAAGGCACCAAAAAAAAAAGACGCGAGCUCAUCAGAGAAGGUUCGCCCUAGAGAGUUCCAUGAAGGAGACCUAACAUCGAAGAAAAUCCUCCCCAUACAAAAAGGGCUUUAGCAGAAAGAAGAUGUCAAACUGAAAAAGACCUUAUGUGGAAGGUUUUAUCUAGAGAAGUGUUGAUUUUGACCAGAAAGGAUAGCAAGGACUUACCUGAUCCUACGAGUUCGAAUUCAAUCAAAGAAUGCAAAAAGAAAAAGAAAAAGAAAAAGAAAAAGGAGAGGCCAAGGUGAAAACCCACAAAGGGCGCCUUGAGACCAAAGGGGUUUUGAAUUGAAAACCCGGGAAUAGGCAAUUCAAAUUUUGAUCAAAGGUGGGGCAUGUGGCAACUUGUUCUCCCUGAAUUAGCAAGAAGGUGAGACGCUACAUCUCGGGGCAUCAACACAUUCUUCUAGGACUUCUAGACACAUAUCAAGUUCAAAAGGAUCCUCAAGAAGUUUGGGGCAGAGAAGCUCAUACUACGAUACCUGGGAUACCUACUUUCAUUUUAUUCAUUGUCAUAUUUUGACAAGUACAUCAUCUUGAUUAAUUUGCUAUCAUUUUUGUAUCUUAGCAAAAUUUGCUAUCUUGAUUAUUUAUUCAUUUCGAGCUUUGCCCUCAAUAAAAUUUCAUCUUAUCCAUUGUGAUAAUUUAAUUCAUUUCGUAUCUUAGCAAAAUUUUCCAUCUUAAUUUUAAGCUUUAUUCUCAAUAAAAUUCCAUAUUAUCUAUUGUGAUAAUCCUUUUCAUCAUAUUCAUUUUGAAUCUUAGCAAAAUUUGCUAUCUUGAUUAAUUUAUUCAUCGCGAGCUUUGUUCGCAAUAAAAUUUCAUCUUGUCCAUUUUGAUAAUUUUUUUCAAGCAUUUUUUAUUGAAAUAAUGAUUAAUGGACUGAUAAUAUUCAAGCAAAAGGAGUUUUUCAUAUUACUCUGAAAGCUUCUAAAUAAUACAGGAACCUGAAACAGGACUAUUGUUUAGAACACACCAAGUUUAAAGGUUGAAAUGUCUAAGAAUAAAAAGUCUAAAUUAAGACUAUCCUUUUAGAUUUUUUUUUUCAAGUAUGGGUUGAACGAAACGACGAAAUGUCGUGUUGGUGACAAAGCUUCAAUGAACAAACAAGCAAUGAUCACCGAGUGAUAAAAAGAGGUUAUUGGAAGAGAAAAUUCCACAAUGUUGCAUAAAAAUUUGGUACAACACCCUGGGAAUGGUGUAGAAGACCAAAGAGAUUUAGAUCCUGUAUCCCUGAAUUACAGUAGGAGAGGAUUGAGAAAGAGCCAGAUCUUAUACUCAGUGGGAGGAAGAUGGCUCGAACUUUAUGUCCCAAAAUUAUCGUGGGCUUAACCUUGAAGAUUACGACAGAUUAAACUUUGAAAAUUAUAGUAGGGGCAAUCCGAUCAAGUAAAAGAUGAGCAUUACCAACUGGACAAAAUAGCAUUUGGACAUGUUGGCAAUAAAGCCUUAUUGAGCAAUGGGCAAUAACAACUCAAACAUUGAAAGAUCAUUUUCAUUUUGCAUUCAUACAUACAUAUUUAGCCAGGAUAUUUUGAUUCAUUUCGAUCAUAAUCACUAGGCAUAAAUAGGUUCAUAAAAUAGAUUAUAUAGGUCAUGUUCCCCAAAGAACAGAUCAAUGAAGACGGCAGAUCUUGCCUUCCUGAACUGACAGUGAGGCAGAUCGAAGAAACCAUAGUUUGUAAUUAAAAGAUUGAAGCCACAACGGCGAAUCUUACUCUCCUAGGCGGUGCAAUGGAACAGAUUGAAGCCACAACGGCGAAUCUCACUUCCCCGACAUUGUAAUUAAAAGAUUGAGGCCACAACGGCGAAUCUUACCUUCCCAGGCGAUGUAGUGGAACAGAUUGAAGCUACAACGGUGAAUCUUGCUUCCCCGACACUGCAAUUAAAAGAUUGAAGCCACAACAGCAAAUCUUACUUUCCCAGGCGGUGCAGUGGAACAGAUUGAAGCUACAACGGUGAAUCUCGCUUCCCCGACAUUGCAAUUAAAAAUUGAAGCCACAACGGUAAAUCUUACUUUCCCAGGUGGUGCAACGGAACAGAUUGAAGCUACAACGACAAAUCUCGCUUCCCCGACAUUGCAAUUAAAAGAUUGAAGCCACAACGGCAAAUCUUACUUUCCCAGACAGUGCAAUGGAACAGAUUAAAGCUACAAUGGUGAAUCUUGCUUCCCCGACAUUGCAAUUGAAAGAUUGAAGCCACAACGGCGAAUCUUACUUUCCCAAGUGGUGCAGUAGAGCAAAUUAAAGCUACGACGGUGAAUCUUACUUCCCCGAUAUUGCAAUUAAAAAUAUUGAAGCUGCAACGGCGAAUCUUACUUCCCUGGCAGUACAGUGGAGCAGAUUAAAGCUACGACGGUGAAUCUUGCUUCCCUGAUUUUGCAAUUUAAAAGAUUGAAGCCGCAAUGAAGAAUCUUACUUCUCUGGCAGUGCAAUGGAGCAGAUUAAAGAUACGACGGCAAAUCUUGCUUCCCCGAUAUUGCAAUUUAAAAGAUUGAAGCCGCAAUGACGAAUCUUACUUCCUUGGCAGUGUAGUGGAACAGAUUGAAGCUACAACGACGAAUUUUGUUUCCCCGACAUUGCAGUUUAAAAAGAUUGAAGCUAUAUAUUGCAGAUAUUAUAUCUUUGAAGUUGCAGUAGAGUAGAUCAUAUCAAGUCUUAUCUCCCUGAAGUUGCAGUGGAGCAGACUGAAGAAACUAAUCCUAUCUCCCUAAAGUUGCAGUGGAGCGGAUUAAAAUCACAGAUCUUAUCUCUCUAAAGUUGCAGUAGAGUAGAUCACAUCCAAUCUUAUCUCCCUAAAGUUGCAGUGGAGCAGACUGAAGAAACUAAUCCUAUCUCCCUGAAGUUGCAGUGAAGCGGAUUAAAAUCACAGAUCUUAUCUCUCUAACGUUGCAGUAGAGCAGAUCACAUCCAAUCUUAUCUCCCUGAAGUUGCAGUGGAGCAGAUUGAAGAAACCAAUCAUAUCUUCCUGAAGUUACAGUGAAGCGGAUUAAAAUGAUAGGUCUUAUCUCUCUGAAGUUGCAGAAGAGCAGAUCACAUCAGACUUUAUGCAGUAAAGCAAGUCGAAAAUACCAAUCGUGUCUCCCUGAAGUUGCAGUGGAGUGGAUGAAAACGAUGAAUCAUAUACCUCUGAAGUUGCAGUAGGUCGAAUUGGAUCAAACCUUAUCUCCCUGAAGUCGCAGUGGAGUAGGUUGAAGAUACAAGUCUUAUCUCCCUGACGUUGUAGUGGAGCAGACUAGAACCACAAACAUCGCCCCCUUAAAGUUGCUGCGAAGAAGAUUGAAGCUACAAGUCAGAUCUUUCUGAAGUGCAGUGAAGUAGAUCGAAACAAUAAGACAAAGUGGACUGGAAGGAUGCUACUUGAAGAGAAGCGUCAAGAGAAGUCAAGACUCGGCGAGACCGGGAAAAUUUGGUCUUUCUUAGUCUUUGCUUCAUUCCCGUUACACGACAAUGAAGCAAAGAGGGGCAGCUGUACAGCCUAAAUUUUCCCGGGCCUCCAAACCAAACGGUCCUAAUCCAUUUACAAAAUUUUAACCCAAUCUCGAAGCCCAAUUACAAUACCCGGCCUAAAGCCCAACAGCCCCAAAAAAACCUAAUGGUCAAACUAGGGUUUCAGUUUUCUGAAACCCUAGUCUCUGCUGCAGGUGCGCCGCCAGUACCAUCACCCUACCGCCGCGCCAUCGACCCUGGUCACUUCAGCCACCUGCUUUCUGCCCACCUGCAAAACGAAAAAGAACACGCAAUGGCAGCCCAAAUAGCAGAGAAGCAGUAACAAACAGAGAAAAAGCAAAUAGGCAUUUUGGCUAUAAAAUCAAGAAAUUCAAUGUAAUCAGGGGGCAAAAUCACUGUAAUCGGGGGGAUUUUUCUUUUAUUUCUUUUAUUUUGUUCUUCUUUUCUUUCGGUUAAAACCGAAUCUGCUGUAAGGAAGAAGAAGUUUUUCCUUUGCUUCUACGAUUAUUGAGAAAUAAAAACAAAAACAAAACAAACUUUUGAAGGUUUUUUUUUAGAUUUGCGUUUCUGUUUAUUUAAUUUAAUUUUAUUUUUAUUUUAUCUUCUACAUAAGAAAUAAAUAAUAAAAAGGGAAGGACGAGGACUUACCUGCGCCGUCGCUUGACCUAAAUCGGAAAGAGGGUGGGUUGAGUCUCUCCUCUUCGCUUUUAGGGAUCGAAAAACCCAUAUAUUCGGGUUCAUAUUAGAGCUCGGAAAGGAGGGACCUCCUCGCGCCGCGUCGGCCUUUGGCCGCGGUGACUGCACGGCGAAUCGCCGUCGAGGUUGGCGCCGGAUCUCAGAGGGCCAAAAGGGAUGGAGGCUCUGCCUUUUUUUAUUUUUUUGAGGCUGCU
rnacentral:lncRNA from 1 species